rnacentral:rRNA from 1 species
UACGAAGGGGGCGAGCGUUGUUCGGAUUUACUGGGCGUAAAGGGCGCGCAGGCGGCUCAUUUUGUCAGGCGUGAAAGCCCCGGGCUUAACCUGGGAACUGCGUUUGAUACGGAUGGGCUAGAGUUCGGGAGAGGAGAGUGGAAUUCCCAGUGUAGAGGUGAAAUUCGUAGAUAUCAGGAGGAACACCGGUGGCGAAGGCGGUUCUCUGGCAAUGUUCUGACGCUGAGGAGCGAAAGUGUGGGGAGCGAACAGG